rnacentral:rRNA from 1 species
GACGAACGCCGGCGGCGUGCUUAACACAUGCAAGUCGAGCGGUAAGGCCCUUUCGGGGGUACGACGAGCGGCGAACGGGUGAGUAACACGUGGGUGACCUGCCUUUAGCUCUGGGAUAAGCCUGGGAAACUGGGUCUAAUACCGGAUAUGACCCUAUGGCGCAUGUUGUGGGGUGGAAAGCCUUGUGCGGCUAGGGAUGGGCCCGCGGCCUAUCAGCUUGUUGGUGGGGUGAUGGCCUACCAAGGCGACGACGGGUAGCCGGCCUGAGAGGGCGACCGGCCACACUGGGACUGAGACACGGCCCAGACUCCUACGGGAGGCAGCAGUGGGGAAUCUUGCGCAAUGGGCGAAAGCCUGACGCAGCGACGCCGCGUGAGGGAUGACGGCCU